rnacentral:rRNA from 1 species
AGGAUGAACGCUGGCGGCGUGGAUAAGGCAUGCAAGUCAAGGGGUCCCCUGUAGCAAUACUAGGGACACCGGCAGACGAGGUAGUAAUACGUAGGUACGCACCCUUUAGUCAGGAAUAACUAGCCGAAAGGUUAGCUAAUACUUGAUGGUCCGGCACUUUAAAAGGUGACGGUAAAGAUUUAUCGCUAAAGGAGCGGCCUGCGCAGUAUCAGCUAGUUGGUAAGGUAAUGGCUUACCAAGGCUAAGACGCUUAGGGGACCUGAGAGGGUGACCCCCACCGAUGGAACUGAGACACGGUCCAUACACCUACGGGUGGCUGCAGUCGAGAAUCUUCCACAAUGGACGAAAGUCUGAUGGAGCGACGCCGCGUGAAUGAUGAAGUACUUCGGUAUGUAAAAUUCUUUUAUGGGGGACUAAGUUUAUUGACGGUUACCCCACGAAUAAGGAGUUGCUAAACUCGCGCCAGCAGCCGC